rnacentral:rRNA from 1 species
UGGCGAUCAAAGUACCGCCCUAGUUCUAACCGUAAACGAUGACAACCAGCGAUUAGUCGGCGUUAAUAUAAGACCCGACUAGCAGCUUCCGGGAAACCAAAGUUUUUCGUUUCCGGGGGAAGUAUGGUUGCAAAGCUGAAACUUAAAGGAAUUGACGGAAGGGCACCACCAGGAGUGGAGCCUGCGGCUUAAUUUGACUCAACACGGGAAAACUCACCCGGCCCGGACACCGUAAGGAUUGACAGACUGAGAGCUCUUUCUUAAUUCGGUGGGUGGUGGUGCAUGGCCGUUCUUAGUUGGUGGAGCGAUUUGUCUGGUUAAUUCCGAUAACGAACGAGACUCUGGCCUAUUAAAUAGUCGGUAUAUCUAGAAAAAGUGUACCGUACUUCUUAGAGGGACAACCGGCGUCUAGCCGCGUGAAAUAGAGCAAUAACAGGUCUGUGAUGCCCUUAGAUGUCCGGGGCUGCACGCGCGCUACACUGAAAGAAUCAGUAUGCGCCGUCGCCUAGUUCGGAAGAACUGGGUAACCCGAGUAAAUUCUUUCGUGCUUGGGAUAGGGAAUUGCAAUUAUUUCCCUUAAACGAGGAAUUCCCAGUAAAUGCGGGUCAUAAGCUCGCGUUGAUUACGUCCCUGCCCCCUUUUGUAAA